CUGCUGCCUUCCGUAGGAGUUUGGGCCGUGUCUCAGUCCCAAUGUGGCCGGUCGCCCUCUCAGGCCGGCUACUGAUCGUCGCCUUGGUGGGCCGUUACCUCACCAACUAGCUAAUCAGACGCGGGUCCAUCUCAUACCACCGGAGUUUUUCACACUCUGUCACUCGACAAUGUGCGCUUAUGCGGUUUUAGCAGUCAUUUCUAACUGUUAUCCCCCUGUAUGAGGCAGGUUACCCACGCGUUACUCACCCGUCCG
rnacentral:rRNA from 1 species